GUGCUUACUCUAAUGUCUUUUGCUUUUUAUGUUUGUUU
rnacentral:sRNA from 1 species